rnacentral:lncRNA from 1 species
UGUAGAAGAUGCCCCAAGUAUUGUACCUCGGAAAAGAGCUCAUAUGAAUUCUAGGCUGCUAAACACAAAAAUUAAGUAUAGCCCAGCUUUCUUGCAAAGAUCUCUUCAGUUUUAUCUUUUCUCACUAUUUCAGAAGCUAACUUCAAGCUACGCAGCCUGUUUAGAUCUAGGGAGUGAAUUCAUCAAAUUAUGUCUUGCGCACCGCAGGCCUUCAGAGAAGCUCCUCAAUCUCUAUCGAUUUUUCGGAUAUGUUAUAUGUCAUCAACCGAAUGAUUGCUCAGGUCGCCGGUUAAAAUCGCACUUUUCAGCUGCAGGUCAC